GUAUAAGUAGAAUAGUCACAGCUAUAUUCCCCUUAGUCAGCAUUUUUUUGCAUAGUUCUUACCCCUUGGAAUUAGUUUCCAGGGCUUUCGUUAGGGCUGUUGCGCGCGCAUGUCAACCGGAAGAAGUUGAUUGAAGGGAAGUAAUUGUAAUUGGUUGAGAAAAACCAAUCAAAAAGUAUGUAUAGAUAUAAGAGUUGUUAUGAUUGGUUUGAAAGCUAC